rnacentral:lncRNA from 1 species
UCAUCAACAACUUUUGGAAUAUAAACAAAAGAUAUCUAAAAAUUCUCAAAAUAGUAAUCCAGAAGGAACAUCUGAAGGAACACCUGACGAGGCUGCACCCUUGGCGGAAAGAACACCUGACACGGCUGAAAGCUUGGUGGAAAGAACACCUGACGAAUAGGAUACAGUGAAUUCCUCUUCAAAGAUUUUAGCCUGUAAACAUCCUUUAAAAUUCAAGAGGGGGGAAGAUUAAGUACAAUGAGUUCUGAGUUCCUCAUCAAAGAACAAAUAUGUCAGUAUGUUCAGCUUCUCCGUUCUUUGUUCUCCGUUUUAAAGUUUAACUUCCUCGUUCGUUAUGCCUCCUUGCCCCUAGUUUCAUUAAACAACCCCCUUCUAGCCUCUAACACCUGCUUUGUCUUUAGUCAUUCUUAGUAACCUGCUCUGUCCUUAGUCAUCCUUAGACACCUGCUCUGUAACUGUCUUUCCCGCUGAAACUACUCACCCUGCCACUCCAGCUCAUACCCCUGCCCUCUUUGAAAUAGCCAAUCUGAAUUGGCUUAGAGUGUGCAGUCCAACCCUAUCCAAUAGGGAAAAGACACAACAGUAGGGACUAGCUGCGUUAGAAAUAAGAACACUUUCCCCUCCCUUGUCCGGUGUGAUCUUGCCUUUGCUCCAUCUGCAAGACCACUCUUCCA